ensembl:lncRNA
GUCUAUCCCCUAGCAAAACUCUCUAGGAUCUCCUAUUUUAACCAGAUGUUACCUGCAUCACCCAACUCACAAUGACAAAUAUUUCCCCAAUAUUUUUUUAAGGUGUAAAAUACAGAGCUGGAAGAAACACUAAGAGGUUAAUGAAAUCAUUUGUAUUCGCUGUCUGGCUGGCACAGUGCAACCCAGCCAGGCGCUAUCCCUGACUUAAUGCUUCAAAUAACCUCCUGCAGUUUUCUGUUAUGAAACAGACCUGAUCUUGGACAAAAAGAGUGAUUUGAUAAAGAAGAUGGCAUGGGAGGCUCUAACUCUCCACAUUUCAUAAUGGGAUGUCAAUAACCUACCAGUGACACCGUUGUUUCCUCAACUCUCUUCCCUUUGUGUUUACAGCAUUUCUCCUGACAGCUGAGAAGGAACAAAUUUCCAAAGGCUCAAUUUUUUUCAGAAGCACCCAGAAGUCUGGCACCUUAGCCUGACCCUUUUCUUGGAACCACAUAGACUGUGCACCUACCUGUGGAUGCUUGCCUGUUCUGCGCAGCCAUAUGUCACUUGGGAGCUUUGCUUUAAGGAAGCUGUCUCUGCACAGUUUGGCCAGGCCCCUGCCCUGCUCACCUACACAUCCAGUUUACCCAGAACAGCGCUGUAGAGUGCCCCUCGUUGCUGUCACGGUGCAGACACUUGCUGUGUUAUGUACAAUUGGCCAUCUUGCCAAAUACAUUAGCGCCUGAGGGUAAGUGAAUCCCCCAAACCUCCCUUUCAGCCAGGUUCUGCUUUGAAACUCAUGCUUUUUAGCACUUGUGAAAAAUACCUGGCUACACCUUUCUCUUGGCUCCCCUCCCUUCUCCAGGGUAGAUCACAAUACUUCAACAGAGCUAAAUAGCUGUAAUUGGGCAUAACAUUCUGUCUAAUGCUGUUUGCUAACGUACUUGGAUGUGACCUCUUCUAGUCAGGAUAAGGCCACAGUGAGAAUGAAGUUUAAUAUUGAAGUAGAAUCGUACAAAUUUAGAGAAGACACCACUCUAGGUCAUUUUGUCCUACGCUUUCAUCCAGGCAGGACUGAAUGUAACUGAUUUCUGUUCUUGAAAGGCUGCUUGACAUUUCUGUCUUCUGCAGCAGUUAGACUCCGGUUUGUACUCGCCUGCUGAUGCAACAGCUUUUGCUCAGUUUGAAAGCAACGGAAAGAAUAGCGAGGGGUCCUUGAUAUGCAUCUAAGCAAUAACUUCCUCUUGCAAGCAAACCUUGCUGGCACAGGUCAGUACAUCAGCGCUCUGAACUGAGUCUUGUAGAUGAGUAGCAUUUAAAAUUCAUACAGCUUUUACUAUGCCCUGGGCCAGCCAAUUUUCAAUUACACCGAUGCCUGCGCCUUCCUUUGAUGUGCAGUGGUUAACCCUUUUGAUGCGCUCUCACCUGUGCCAGUGAUGGUGUGUGCCUGCCAGGAACAGAUCAGUGUACACCAACAUGCUUCCCAAGGCACAGAGCCGGCCCUACACUCAGCUGUUUCCUUUUUGUUGCAGUUACUGUUUUAAAUGUCAUUAGUGAGGGGUGAAAAUACUCUUUUUCUGAAGGGGUUUGGUGGGAUUUGUCACAGUCUAGGGCACGACAAGGUGUUUUUUCUUCUAUUCUUCUGCCAUAUGUGAGUGGUACUUGGGCGUUUCCCCUUCCCCCCUGAGGACCAUCCAGCUGUGGGGAGCUAUCAGCUUCUUGCUGGGCACUGGCAGCAGCUGUUGGGCUGUGGGCAUAUUUAUCUUCAUCGGAUGCCCCUGUCACCCUGCCUGUCCUGUGGCUUGCACUACAUUUUAUUUUUCCUUAUUAAAAAGAGCCGUUCCAUAUUCUUCUAGGAUCUGGUGUUGCCACUGUUGUUUGACAGUGUAAAUAGUUAGAAGGGUCUGCAGAAAAGGCUGUCAGAUGGGUUAAGCUAAUGAUCCCUUAGUUAUGAUCCCUAGCAAUCUUGACUUUAUUUGGCAGGAAAAGUAAUUUAAGGAGUGAACUGCUUAUUAAAAUGACCUCUACUGCAUGUGUCUGUGCUCAGUAAUUGAUACAGAUUAGCCAGGAGUUAGUGUAGCUUUUGAUAAUGGAUUAAUCUUGGAAAGCUGAAGGGUUUUUUUUUUUUUUUUUUCCUUGGGAGCAGUGCAGAACAAGAGUCUAUGGUUGUUGCAGGCUUCUGUGUCUGUCCUGUGCAACAUCCCCUUACUCCAGCUCCUUAAAGGGAUCAGUGCAUUCAAAAUCUCUGAAAGAGAUAUUGCACUGUGCAAUGGUACAUUUCAGCAGAAAAUGCCUUCAGAGCAGGGACAUGAAAACAACAGUUAUAGGUACAAAACAGCUGUGAGAUUUAGAACUAAUGGGUGGUUAAUUGCAUUUUAUUCUAUAUUGCACAUGGAAGAAUGCCAGGGCAAGCAUGCACACAUUGUCCAAGGAGCUCGCAGCAGCAGUUGUGUAAAUUAAGGGAAGAGCCUUAAGUUAUUUCACUAAUUCAGUUUCGGAGUGUUGAUAUUCUUGGGAAUGCAUGCAUGUACCAGCAGAGGGCAUGCAGACUUCAUUCAACAGGGACAUGUGCUAAUUAAUAAAUCUCAGAUGUAGGUAGGUGUCUACCUGCA